AUGACGAAGACAAAGGGAAAGAGGAGAAGUACCUGAUAGAUGUUUUCUAGGCCUUUUAGAAAACGGAGUUUUUCCUUUGGCCAUGUAUAUGCGCAUCUGUAAGAGGGAUGAUAUUGUCGAUGUUGUCGACAUUAAGGGAAUGGGAAUGGGUACUGUUCAAAAAGGAAUGGCCCAUAAAUGUUGCCAUGGCAAAACUGGAAGAGUCUACAGUGUUCCCCAGCAUGCUGUUAGCAUUGUUGUGAACAAGUAAGUUAAGGGCAAGACUCUUGCCAAGAGAAUUAAUGUGCGCAUUGAGCACAUUAAGCACUCUAAGAGCCGAGAUAGCUUCCUGAAACGUGUAGUAAAAUGAUCAGAAAAAGAACCCAAAGAGAAAGGUACCUGAGUUCAACUGAAGUGCCAGCCUGCCCCACCCAGAGAAGCACACUUUGUGAGAACAAAUGGGAAGGAGCCUGAGCUGCUGGAACCUAUUCUCUAUGGAUUCAUAGCAUAA
rnacentral:lncRNA from 1 species